UAACCUGCCCAAGAGAUCGGGAUAACACCUGGAAACAGAUGCUAAUACCGGAUAACAACAGAUGAUGCCUAUCAACUGUUUAAAAGAUGGUUCUGCUAUCACUCUUGGAUGGACCUGCGGUGCAUUAGCUAGUUGGUAGGGUAACGGCCUACCAAGGCGAUGAUGCAUAGCCGAGUUGAGAGACUGAUCGGCCACAUUGGGACUGAGACACGGCCCAAACUCCUACGGGAGGCAGCAGCGU
rnacentral:rRNA from 1 species